rnacentral:tRNA from 1 species
GAGGGUAUAGCCCAGUGGUAAAGCACGUGCUUAGCAUGCAUGAAGUCCUGGGUUCACCCCCAGUACCUCCA